rnacentral:rRNA from 1 species
AGUUUGCUUGCAAACUAAAGAUGGCGACCGGCGCACGGGUGAGUAACACGUAUCCAACCUGCCGAUAACUCGGGGAUAGCCUUUCGAAAGAAAGAUUAAUAUCCGAUAGUAUAUUAAAACCGCAUGGUUUUACUAUUAAAGAAUUUCGGUUAUCGAUGGGGAUGCGUUCCAUUAGUUUGUUGGCGGGGUAACGGCCCACCAAGACUACGAUGGAUAGGGGUUCUGAGAGGAAGGUCCCCCACAUUGGAACUGAGACACGGUCCAAACUCCUACGGGAGGCAGCAGUGAGGAAUAUUGGUCAAUGGACGAGAGUCUGAACCAGCCAAGUAGCGUGAAGGAUGACUGCCCUAUGGGUUGUAAACUUCUUUUAUAUGGGAAUAAAGUAUUCCACGUGUGGGAUUUUGUAUGUACCAUAUGAAUAAGGAUCGGCUAACUCCGUGCCAGCAGCCGCGGUAAUACGGAGGAUCCGAGCGUUAUCCGGAUUUAUUGGGUUUAAAGGGAGCGUAGGUGGAUUGUUAAGUCAGUUGUGAAAGUUUGCGGCUCAACCGUAAAAUUGCAGUUGAAACUGGCAGUCUUGAGUACAGUAGAGGUGGGCGGAAUUCGUGGUGUAGCGGUGAAAUGCUUAGAUAUCACGAAGAACUCCGAUUGCGAAGGCAGCUCACUAGACUGCAACUGACACUGAUGCUCGAAAGUGUGG